GGAGUCUGAUGGAAAUAAGGUUGUGAAAAACAUCAUUUAUGGUCCUGGAAAAAAGAAGUAUCGUUAUUGUAAGCAUAUAGCAAAAGUACGACUGCCUGGAUUAAGUGAUGAUUUGACAAAAAAAGGAAAACACUUUAUAUUAAUUCGGAAUCUGAUUGAUUCAUUGCAAUCUUUUGACAAGGUUGUCCCUUCAUCCUUCCAUGAACUAGGGUUAGUAGACCUGGUUUCUGUAUACAGUGAACUCUCUGCAUCAGAGAAACCCCCUCCUAUUCUUGAUGUUGCUCAUCUUCAACAAGACCCU